rnacentral:RNase_P_RNA from 1 species
CGGGAUCAGGUAAGGGUAAAAUGGUGCGGAAAGAGCGCACCGCGGGGCUGGUAACAGCCCGCGGCACGGUAAACUCCACCCGGAGCAAGGACAAAUAGGGGUUCAUAAGGUACGGCCCGUACUGACCCCGGGUAGGCUGCUUGGGCCAGCGAGCGAUUGCUGGCGUAGAUGAAUGACUGUCCACGACAGAACCCGGCUUAUCGGUCAGUUUCACCU